UACAGAGGGCUCAAGCGUUGUUCGGAUUCAUUGGGCGUAAAGGGUGCGUAGGCGGCGGGGUAAGUCAGGUGUGAAAUCUCGGGGCUCAACCCCGAAACUGCACUUGAUACUGCCUUGCUCGAGUACUGGAGAGGAGAUUGGAAUUUACGGUGUAGCAGUGAAAUGCGUAGAUAUCGUAAGGAAGACCAGUGGCGAAGGCGAAUCUCUGGACAGUUACUGACACUGAGGCACGAAGGCCAGGGGAGCAAACGGG
rnacentral:rRNA from 1 species